GAUGAACGCUAGCGGGAGGCCUAACACAUGCAAGCCGAGCGGUAUUGUUUCUUCGGAAAUGAGAGAGCGGCGUACGGGUGCGUAACACGUGUGCAACCUGCCUUUAUCUGGGGGAUAGCCUUUCGAAAGGAAGAUUAAUACUCCAUAAUAUAUUGAACGGCAUCGUUUAAUAUUGAAAGCUCCGGCGGAUAGAGAUGGGCACGCGCAAGAUUAGCUAGUUGGUGAGGUAACGGCUCACCAAGGCGAUGAUCUUUAGGGGGCCUGAGAGGGUGAUCCCCCACACUGGUACUGAGACACGGACCAGACUCCUACGGGAGGCAGCAGUGAGGAAUAUUGGUCAAUGGGUGCAAGCCUGAACCAGCCAUCCCGCGUGAAGGACGACUGCCCUAUGGGUUGUAAACUUCUUUUGUAUAGGGAUAAACCUACCCUCGAGAGGGUAGCUGAAGGUACUAGACGAAUAAGCACCGGCUAACUCCGUG
rnacentral:rRNA from 1 species